AUGUCCGACUCCGACGAAUACGUGGACCUGCCGGUCUCGGACGAGGAAGAGGAUGAGUGGGAGGAUGGAGACGAAGCUGAGGAGGAGGAGGUGCAGGGAAGCUCUAAGAAGAAGGCCAAGCAGCACGUCGACCAACUCAAGAGGCUGCAGGAAAAGGAUCCCGAGUUCUUUAAAUAUUUGGAAGAGUGUGAUAAAGAGCUCUUGGAAUUCAAUGAUGAUGACAUCGCUGAUGAUCAAGAAAGUGACGAGGAACCUAAAUCUGUCCCUAAGGAGGAGCCAAAAGAAAGUGUUAAACCAAUUACGAUGGAAAUGGUUGAUUCCUGGUGCAAAGGGGCCGAAGAUGGGAAGAUAGGAUCUAUCAGGUCUAUUCUUCAAGCCUUCAGGAGAGCUUGCCAUUAUGGCGAGGACAGUGGGGACAAUUCAGCACCAAAAUUCAGUGUCAUGUCCGGUAGUGUACUCGACAAAGUCAUGCACUACGUUUUGAAGAACAUGGAUAGCAUCCUUCGCCAAUUACUCGGUGCCCCUAGCUCUGGAGGGAAGAAAGAGAAAAUCAGUGAGCUGAUGAUGACUAAUUCAUGGAAGAGGAAUGGCAAUCUAAUGAGGGUGUAUCUUGUCAAUGCACUCCAUAUGAUAACCGAGAUGACUGAUGACCAAAUGAUCGCGUUUACUAUUCUCCGUGUCAGAGCAUCAGCUGUUUUUCUGGCAGCCUUCCCUUCUCUCCUUAGGAAGUAUGUUAAGACCCUGUUGUAUACCUGGGCUAGAGGUCGAGGUGCCAUGCCCUUUAUUUCGUUUUUGUUCCUCCGAGACUUGUGUGUUCAAGUAGGUCCGGAUUGCCUUGACACAUGCCUCAAGGGUAUCUACAAGGCUUAUUUGGUGAACUGCAAGUUGUCCAAGUCUAUCAGCGGAUCGAAACUGCAGCACAUUCAAUUUCUUGGGAAUUGUGUCAAAGAAUUGUAUAUCGUGGACCCUCAAAGUGCUUAUCAACAUGCUUUUGUUUUCAUUCGUCAGUUGGCAGUUAUCCUAAGAGGUGCUCUUACCGAAAGAGGACCAAAGACAUCAAAGGACAAAAAGCAGAAAGAAAGAAACAAACCAACGAACAAACAGCUGGAGAAAUCCUACCAAAAAGUUUAUGAUUGGCAAUUUAUAUUCUGCCUUGAGCUUUGGACAGGUGUUGUGUGUGGAUGUAGUUCUGAGGAAGAUUUCCGGCCUUUGGCCUAUCCGUUAACCCAGAUAAUACACGGUGUAGCAUGUCUUGUACCGAGUGCACGUUACUUCCCUGUACGCAUUAGAUGUGUAAAGAUGCUUAAUUGCAUUGCCGAAGCCACCGGUACCUUUAUUCCGGUGUCCUCUCUGUUGCUUGAUAUGCUAGAAAUGAAAGAACUUAGAGGCCGUCCAGAUGGUGGUGUUGGCAAAGCAGUGAAUAUGUUCAAUGUUAAACAGGUAGAUAAGAAAAUGGUGAAGACACGUGCCUUUCAGGAAGCUUGCAUUUACUCUGUGGUUGAUGAGCUGGCUAAGCAUUUGGCGCAGUGGAGCUACUCUGUUGCCUUCAUCGAGAUGUCCUUUUUGCCACUUGUUCAACUUCGGAACUUUUGCAAAACCAUCAAGGCUGACAGAUUUCGAAAAGAGAUGAAGGAUCUUAUUCGUCAGGUAGAGGCAAAUGUUGAGUACAUAAGCUCAAAGCGUGCCGGAAUUACAUUCCCCCCCAAUGAUCCAGCUGUAGAUUCAUUUCUACAGGCUGAGAAGGAAGUACGGUCAAGCCCUCUCUCAGAAUAUGUUGCUACUCUACAUCAGAGAGCACAGAACAGAAUCGAUUCUUUGGAUGAGACAAGUGUUAUCGUGGGUGCAGAGUCCUCUACCUUUUCGAAGAGGCUAUCAGAGGCACAGAAGCAACAGGAGGAACAUGAUGAUAGUGAAGAACCCAUUGCUUUCAGUAAGAACUUGUUGGCGGAGAAGAAGAAAACAAAAGCUGCAAAGGAGAAGAGCAAGAAACGAGCCCGUGACGACGAUGAUGUGCCUGCGGAGGAGGAUGUGGUUGAGGAUUUGAUCUUGAGUUCGGACGAGGAAGCGGAAGAUGAGGACGAUGGCCUCGGAUCAGACGAGGAUGGCUCCGCGCCCGUUGAAGAUGACAGCGACGAGGACUUUGUGGACCCAGACAGCGCGUGGAAGAAACAGAAGAAGGAGAAGCUAAAGAAACGGACCAAGUACCAACCGUUGAACAAGGCAUCCUCCAAAACCAAAAGGAAACCCCACCCUAAGAAGAAAGCCAAGCAUUAA
rnacentral:rRNA from 1 species